rnacentral:rRNA from 1 species
AUUGAACGCUGGCGGCAGGCUUAACACAUGCAAGUCGAGCGAGCGGCGGAAGGGUGAGUAAGGUCUGGGAAACUGCCUGAGGGAGGGGGAUAACUAAUGGAAACGGUAGCUAAUACCGCAUACCAUCAGAUGGGCCGAGAUGGGAGUAGCGAGGAGGUGGGGUAAGGGCUCACCUAGGCGACGAUCCCUAGCGGGUCUGAGAGGAUGACCAGCCACACUGGAACUGAGACACGGUCCAGACUCCUACGGGAGGCAGCAGUGGGGAAUAUUGCACAAUGGGCGCAAGCCUGAUGCAGCCAUGCCGCGUGUGUGAAGAAGGCCUUCGGGUUGUAAAGCACUUUCAGCUAGGAGGCGUUACUCGCAGAAGAAGCACCGGCUAACUCCGUGCCAGCAGCCGCGGUAAUAC